AUUGAACGCUGGCGGCAGGCUUAACACAUGCAAGUCGAGCGGAGUGAUGGUGCUUGCACUAUCACUUAGCGGCGGACGGGUGAGUAAUGCUUAGGAAUCUGCCUAUUAGUGGGGGACAACAUCUCGAAAGGGAUGCUAAUACCGCAUACGUCCUACGGGAGAAAGCAGGGGAUCACUUGUGACCUUGCGCUAAUAGAUGAGCCUAAGUCGGAUUAGCUAGUUGGUGGGGUAAAGGCCUACCAAGGCGACGAUCUGUAGCGGGUCUGAGAGGAUGAUCCGCCACACUGGGACUGAGACACGGCCCAGACUCCUACGGGAGGCAGCAGUGGGGAAUAUUGGACAAUGGGGGGAACCCUGAUYCAGCCAUGCCGCGUGUGUGAAGAAGGCCUUAUGGUUGUAAAGCACUUUAAGCGAGGAGGAGGCUCUUUUGGUUAAUACCCAAGAUGAGUGGACGUUACUCGCAGAAUAAGCACCGGCUAACUCUGUGCCAGCAGCCGCGGUAAUACAGAGGGUGCAAGCGUUAAUCGGAUUUACUGGGCGUAAAGCGCGCGUAGGCGGCCAAUUAAGUCAAAUGUGAAAUCCCCGAGCUUAACUUGGGAAUUGCAUUCGAUACUGGUUGGCUAGAGUGUGGGAGAGGAUGGUAGAAUUCCAGGUGUAGCGGUGAAAUGCGUAGAGAUCUGGAGGAAUACCGAUGGCGAAGGCAGCCAUCUGGCCUAACACUGACGCUGAGGUGCGAAAGCAUGGGGAGCAAACAGGAUUAGAUACCCUGGUAGUCCAUGCCGUAAACGAUGUCUACUAGCCGUUGGGGCCUUUGAGGCUUUAGUGGCGCAGCUAACGCGAUAAGUAGACCGCCUGGGGAGUACGGUCGCAAGACUAAAACUCAAAUGAAUUGACGGGGGCCCGCACAAGCGGUGGAGCAUGUGGUUUAAUUCGAUGCAACGCGAAGAACCUUACCUGGCCUUGACAUAGUAGAAACUUUCCAGAGAUGGAUUGGUGCCUUCGGGAAUCUACAUACAGGUGCUGCAUGGCUGUCGUCAGCUCGUGUCGUGAGAUGUUGGGUUAAGUCCCGCAACGAGCGCAACCCUUUUCCUUACUUGCCA
rnacentral:rRNA from 1 species